UACGUAGGGUCCAAGCGUUGUCCGGAAUUAUUGGGCGUAAAGAGCUCGUAGGCGGUGUGUCGCGUCGGAUGUGAAAGCCCGAGGCUUAACUUCGGGUCUGCAUUCGGUACGGGCAUGCUGGAGUUCGGUAGGGGAGACUGGAAUUCCUGGUGUAGCGGUGAAAUGCGCAGAUAUCAGGAGGAACACCGGUGGCGAAGGCGGGUCUCUGGGCCGAUACUGACGCUGAGGAGCGAAAGCGUGGGGAGCGAACAGG
rnacentral:rRNA from 1 species